rnacentral:rRNA from 1 species
UACGUAGGUGGCAAGCGUUUGUCCGGAUUUACUGGGCGUAAAGAGCGCGCAGGCGGUCGUUCAAGUCGCGUGUGAAAGCCCCCGGCUCAACUGGGGAGGGUCACGCGAUACUGAUCGACUCGAAGGCAGGAGAGGGUAGUGGAAUUCCCGGUGUAGUGGUGAAAUGCGUAGAUAUCGGGAGGAACACCUGUGGCGAAGGCGGCCAUCUGGACGUCAACUGACGCUGAGACGCGAAAGCAUGGGGAGCAAACAGG